CAGAGGUCUCAAGCGUUAAUCGGAAUUACUGGGCUUAAAGGGUCCGCAGGCGGACCAGCAAGUACCUCGUGAAAUCUCAGGUCUCAACCCUGAGUCUGCCGGGUAGACUGCUGGUCUUGAGUGCAAAAGGGGUCGCUGGAACUCUAGGUGGAGCGGUGAAAUGCGUAGAUAUCUAGAGGAACGCCAAAGGUGAAGACAGGCGACUGGUUUGCAACUGACGCUCAUGGACGAAAGCGUGGGGAUCAAACGGGAUUAGAUACCCCGGUAGUCCACGCCCUAAACAAUGUACACUUGGUUGUGGGAGCUUUGACGCUUUCGCGGCCGGAAUUAAAAUGUUAAGUGUACCGCCUGGGGAGUACGGCCGCAAGGCUA
rnacentral:rRNA from 1 species